rnacentral:rRNA from 1 species
AAGAACCUUACCCAGACUUGACAUGCAGUGGAAGUUAGUAGAGAUAUUAACGCCCUUCGGGGCCGCUGCACAGGUGCUGCAUGGCUGUCGUCAGCUCGUGCCGUGAGGUGUUGGGUUAAGUCCCGCAACGAGCGCAACCCUUAUCGUUAGUUGCCAACAGGUAAUGCUGGGAACUCUAGCGAGACUGCCUGGGUUAACCAGGAGGAAGGUGAGGAUGACGUCAAGUCCGCAUGGCCCUUAUGUCUGGGGCUACACACGUGCUACAAUGGUCGGUACAGAAGGCAGCGAAACCGCGAGGUGAAGCAAAUCCCUAAAACCGGCCCCAGUUCAGAUUGUAGUCUGCAACUCGACUACAUGAAGAUGGAAUUGCUAGUAAUGGCGAGUCAGCAACAUCGCCGUGAAUACGUUCCCGGGUCUUGUACACACCCU